GACUACAAGCAUUUGAAGAGCCAAAAAUCCUUCAUGUUUUGAGCAAAACGUGGCAAAUCCAGAGUAUCUUUCUCAGAAUAGUAGUUCAUGUUCAAGCUAGGCUUUUGAUUCACAGUUUGCCAAUCAUCCUCCAAAUUUUGCCUUUGAGGGUUGAUGUUAGAAAGGUCCCCGAUUCUGUCAAACACUCUUUUAAUCUUGUUGGCACUCUUCCAUGAUUUAUUGGUCGGAUGAGUGCAUUACAAAUCCUUGAUUUUUUCUCUCCACCAAUGGUUUUGUAGAAGGCUAGCUUUUCUCAAGGAAAAAGCAUCAGAAACAGGAAAGCUAUGGUUUCCUUUAAAGUUAAAGCAGUUGUGUGAUUGGGCAUUCUUAACGCCAUAACUCUAUUGCAGAUUAGAUGGCCACAUGAGGCUCUGUCACAUGAUGCAUGCGCGGUGUGCCAUCAUAGUGGUGAGUUCCAUGCUUAUCUGUUCCUUCACUGCACUCCACAGAUUGGGGUUCAUGAAAUGACCUCUUUGGUUUCAUUGGUGAGUGUUGGGUGCAACCCAGUUCUUUGAAUCUUUUUUCGUCAUCACUCUUAAGAUUGUUGGGCAAGGAAACAAGGAGAUUAUGAUGGUGUGCAGUUUUUUCUAUUUUAUGGGUGGCUCAUCUUAGGAGAAAUGCUCACAUUUUCCAUGAUCACUCUUUGCCUACUAAUUUGAUAUGGGGCAGGAUCCCAUUUUUGCAUGGCUAUGGGUUUUUCUACUAAA